rnacentral:rRNA from 1 species
GUGGGGAAUCUUCCGCAAUGGACGAAAGUCUGACGGAGCAACGCCGCGUGAGUGAAGAAGGUUUUCGGAUCGUAAAGCUCUUUCGUUAGGGACGAACGUGCUCUUUGUGAAUAAUGAGGAGUAAUGACGGUACCUGAAUAAGAAGCCACGGCUAACUACGUGCCAGCAGCCGCGGUAAUACGUAGGUGGCAAGCGUUGUCCGGAAUUAUUGGGCGUAAAGCGCGCGCAGGCGGGAUAUCAAGUCUGUCUUAAAAGUGCGAGGCUCAACCUCGUGAGGGGACAGAAACUGGUAUUCUUGAGUGUCGGAGAGGAAAGUGGAAUUCCAAGUGUAGCGGUGAAAUGCGUAGAGAUUUGGAAGAACACCAGUGGCGAAGGCGACUUUCUGGACGAUGUCUGACGCUGAGGCGCGAAAGCUAGGGGAGCGAACGGGAUUAGAUACCCGGGUAGUCC